UACGAGGGGGGCGAGCGUUAAUCGGAAUUACUGGGCGUAAAGGGUGCGUAGGUGGUUUGAUAAGUUAUCUGUGAAAGUCCUGGGCUUAACCUAGGGAGGUCAGAUAAGACUGUUGGACUAGAGUAUGGGAGAGGGUAGUGGAAUUUCCGGUGUAGCGGUGAAAUGCGUAGAGAUCGGAAGGAACACCAGUGGCGAAGGCGGCUACCUGGCCUAAUACUGACACUGAGGCACGAAAGCGUGGGGAGCAAACAGG
rnacentral:rRNA from 1 species